rnacentral:rRNA from 1 species
ACGAACGCUGGCGGCGUGCCUAAUACAUGCAAGUCGAACGCUUCUUUCCUCCCGAGUGCUUGCACUCAAUUGGAAAGAGGAGUGGCGGACGGGUGAGUAACACGUGGGUAACCUACCCAUCAGAGGGGGAUAACACUUGGAAACAGGUGCUAAUACCGCAUAACAGUUUAUGCCGCAUGGCAUAAGAGUGGAAGGCGCUUUCGGGUGUCGUUGAUGGAUGGACCCGCGGUGCAUUAGCUAGUUGGUGAGGUAACGGCUCACCAAGGCCACGAUGCAUAGCCGACCUGAGAGGGUGAUCGGCCACACUGGGACUGAGACACGGCCCAGACUCCUACGGGAGGCAGCAGUAGGGAAUCUUCGGCAAUGGACGAAAGUCUGACCGAGCAACGCCGCGUGAGUGAAGAAGGUUUUCGGAUCGUAAAACUCUGUUGUUAGAGAAGAACAAGGACGUUAGUAACUGAACGUCCCCUGACGGUAUCUAACCAGAAAGCCACGGCUAACUACGUG